AAUAUAUGAGACCGGCGCACGGGUGCGUAACGCGUAUGCAAUCUACCUUUUACAGGGGAAUAGCCCAGAGAAAUUUGGAUUAAUGCCCCAUGGUAUUACGAAGUGGCAUCACUAUGUAAUUAAAGUUCCAACGGUAAAAGAUGAGCAUGCGUCCUAUUAGCUUGUUGGUAAGGUAACGGCUUACCAAGGCUACGAUAGGUAGGGGUCCUGAGAGGGAGAUCCCCCACACUGGUACUGAGACACGGACCAGACUCCUACGGGAGGCAGCAGUGAGGAAUAUUGGACAAUGGGCGCAAGCCUGAUCCAGCCAUGCCGCGUGCAGGAAGACGCAUCUAUGGUGUGUAAACUGCUUUUGUACGGGAAGAAACACCCCCUCGUGAGGGGGCUUGACGGUACCGUAAGAAUAAGGAUCGGCUAACUCCGUGCCAGCAGCCGCGGUAAUACGGAGGAUCCAAGCGUUAUCCGGAAUCAUUGGGUUUAAAGGGUCCGUAGGCGGUUUGAUAAGUCAGUGGUGAAAGCCCAUCGCUCAACGAUGGAACGGCCAUUGAUACUGUCAGACUUGAAUUAUUGUGAAGUAACUAGAAUAUGUAGUGUAGCGGUGAAAUGCUUAGAUAUUACAUGGAAUACCAAUUGCGAAGGCAGGUUACUAACAAUAUAUUGACGCUGAUGGA
rnacentral:rRNA from 1 species